GACGAACGCUGGCGGCGUGCUUAACACAUGCAAGUCGAACGAUAAGCCCCUGCUUUCGUGGGUUGCUCGUGUGGAACAGGUGUGUGAAACAUGAGUGUCCCCUGCCCUUGUCUGUGGUAUAACUUCAGGAACCUGGGUAUUAUACCGUACAACUUCUCCCCCCGCGUGGUGGGGUUGGGAGAGUUUUAGUGGUUGUGGAUGGGCUCGCGGCCUAUCAGCUUGUUGGUGGGGUAGUGGCUUACCAAGGCUUCGACGGGUAGCCGGCCUGAGAGGGUGACCGGCCACACUGGGGCCUGGGAAAGGCCCCGGACUCCAAGGGGGGGCGGCGGGGGGGAUAAUGGAAAAAGGGGGGGAGGCUGAUGGCGCGAACGCGGGGGGCGGGAGAACGGCUUUCGGGUGGUAAACCGCUUUCGCCGGUGACGAGGCGUGAGUGACGGUAAUUGGAGAAGAAGCACCGGCUAACUACGUG
rnacentral:rRNA from 1 species